UGAUCUGGGUUUCCCCGCGGGGGAGUGGGAGCUGUAGGGAAGGGAGCCCGGCGAGCCGGGUGUGUGUCCGUCCUUCCUCAUCGUCUCGCUGGGUGUUUUGGUGUCCCGCGGUGUUGGGGAGGGUGGGCUCGGCUUUGCCGCCUGAGCCGCCCGGCGGUGGUCGGUGCCCCUUGUCGCUGUGCCGCUCUGCCCUCGCUGCGCCCCGGGAGAGCUGGCGCUCCCCAGGGUAAGGCAGCAACCUCGCCUUUGAAAUCCUACCUACUUUCUACAGCGACUUCCAGCAACCAGACUCCAGGCCACACUUUUCCUCCUUUGAAAGCCGUCUUUUAAAGGAAGUAAUGUUCCAAGAAUGUCGUCAGGAAUCCAAAUAAAACCAAAAACUGCAGUACAGAAAAGCAAGACAUCUUCUCCUUUGCCAUGUUCUCCAGAACCUCCAAUUAAACCACAGCCAAAGCCUAGUGACAAGCUGAAUCCUAAAACUAUUGAUCCGUUUGGUGCUCAUUCUCGACCACCUUCUGCAUUUGCUGCUAUAUAUGCUAAAGGUGGCAUUCCAUGCAGGUUGGUGCAUGGCUCAGUAAAGCACAGACUACAAUGGGAAUGCCUUCCUGAAACUGUUCCCUUUGAUCCUCUUCUUGUAACAUUGGCAGAGGGUCUAAGGGAGACAAAACAUCCCUAUACAUUUGUUUCAAAGGAGGGUUUUAAAGAAUUACUUAUGGUCGAAGGUGCUGCUGAAAAAGCAAUUCCCUUGUUGCCUCGUCUAGUUCCAGUGUUAAAGGCUGCAUUGGCCCAUUCGGAUGAUGAAGUAUUCGGAAGGGGAUUGGAUGCUUUAGUUCAACUGAGUGCUGUUGUUGGCCCAUCACUUAAUGAUCAUCUUAAGCAUCUACUCACAAAUAUACAGUGGAGGACUCAGCAGUUCCCUGAAAAGCAUUACUUCAUAUAUUCCUCUACCUUUCGAGGAGGUUAAUGGACAAGAAAUUUAGAGAAAAAAUUACUGUUGCUUUACAAAAGUUGGAGCAAUAUGGUGGAAAGGCAACUGUGGCUAUCAUCAAAUCUAAAAUUCCAACCUAUUGUUCUAUCUCCUCAUGAUCAAGAAAACUGUAGUGAUUUGUACUGUAAGGUGAAGUUUGGAAAGAAACUGCCUGUGAACGUCACUGACACUUAGUUGGGGUAUGAUAUAUUCUCUUAAAAUAAUUACAAUUCUUCAGUAUCAUGAAGAGUGGGAAAAGUCCUAUCAGUUUGUAAAUAUGUAAUUAUGGAAGGCUAUUUAAAAUAAUUCUCUCUGGCUGCUAUUUGCGUAUGCUUUGUGCUUACAACGAUAUCGCCUAACUUGCUAUUAUUUCAAAAGCAGAGUAAAUAUCGAUUCUUAUUUUGUUGUAAAUUACAAUUUCCUUCAAUAGAUCUGCAGUGCUUAAUAUGUUUGGUACAUUUGUGUGAUAAUUUGGCUGUAAUUACUUAAAUAGUAACUAACUUGGUGUUAAAUUACAUAUGUCUACCCACUUUUGAAACAUGUAACUUAAUUUGCGCCACAGGCACAGAUGGAUGCAGUUUGGGUUCAUCAGGGCUUACUGGGUUAGAUGUAGAACUAUAACUCGUCUGGACUUCUUGAGAGGCAGCUUUUAAAAGUUUGAAGCUGAACGCACUGAACAGGUAGCACAGGGUGCAGAACUGAACUUGCUCAGUGCAUUCUCAGCACGUUGUUUGGAGAAGCUGGAGAGGCUCUGGAGAAAUACAGCGCAGAGGCAUCAGGGUGCUCCUUAGAGCCGCAGCCUAGGUUUUGCUCAGCUAAUUAGUUCCAGUUAGCUUUGAGCCUACUGAAUGUGAGCUAGAUGUAGGAGGCAACUUUGGAAUAUUUACCCUGUGCUCCCUUUGCAUUGAGUUCUGUAAUGCCACAGAUAUGUUUGGUCUAGCGUGUGCAUUCAACUCCAGACAAGCUGAUAAACUCCUGAAUGGGGAAGCUAUGAAAAAAAUAUGAGUUAAUUAAAAGGUGGCAGAAGCCAGCUUACCUGGCUGUCAAGUUUUGUAGGGUGCAGCAUUUGUCCCUGAACAUAUUUGGACCUGAUUGCAAAAUAAUGCCUAACAAACAGGUCUUGCAAUAAAUACUGUUCAGGGUUCAUGUUGUUACAGGUGUAUGAAUUACUCCGUAAGGGAGAGCUGACUGAAGUAACAAAAUUUGCCAUAGAACUUUUUCCCCUGAGGAAAACUCAAUUCUGGAAUUUAAAGUUCUUGGAAGGGUGGGGGGGUGCUUUUUGUCAUCAGAGGAUGCUGUUGCACUGGGUAUUAGAAAAGUCUGUCAGGUGAAAGCAAUUUCAGAAUUUUUGUAAAACUGCCACUGCUUGGCUAAAUUAAAUUUACUUCAGGACUGUGCUAAGAUUUCUGUUGAGAUCAGAACUGUGCUAAGUCAAUAUAUACGUAUUUAAACUUUUUCAAAAAAAAAAAGGCAAUUUUUUUUUUUUACAAAAAAGUAUAAUUUGAAGAAAUACAAGUAUUUGUUUAACAACUCAAAAAAAAUCGAUCGUGCUGCUUGUUUUUCUUCACGUUUACUUUAUUAUUUUUUUACAAAAUGUGCACAUUUAGUUUACACAAACACACUACAGCAGAUUUCAGGUGUACAUGUAUUGUACUACUCUUAUCCUACACUGGUGAUAGCAGAGCAGCCUUCAACAUGCCUCUAACAACCCAUCUCUACACCAGAAUAGAUACCUGAUUUAUUUUUGCAAAAGAAUGCUUGCAACAUUCUUUCUACUUCAUUAAUCCCCCUUCUGCAGCAAUGUCACAAGAUUGGCCUGUCUCUGAUAGCAUUUCACCUAUUUUGAAGUAUUGGCAUAAACUGUGGACAAUGUAUCUUAAAAAUUACAUGUACGGGGGGGCAGUAUUCUAUUUUAAGUACAUACUUUUUUAGAAAAAAAAUCUUUCUAGGUUCAGCAUUAAGGUAGCUCCAAUCUUAAUGAAGAAACGAUCCUAAAAAAUAUAAUGCAGUUAUCACACAUAGAUAAUAUUUUUCCAAUUUUUUCCUGUUUCUGUCUCCUAAUUAAAGAUAUUACAAAAAGCUGAAACAGAUGUUAACCUGUCUAGCAGUUAUUAGUAGUAGAUCUUACUACAUAGUGAUAUUCAUUCUGAGCACUGAAGUUUCAGAAGUUGUUCAUGCCUUUUGCUUCAUUAAAGGCAGAAAGAUAUGUACUCAUGAAAACAGUGUUAGGAGCCGGUUAAGGUUUCUUCAUGAGAAAUUAGGAGGCAGAAGAUCCUUAAUUUUAAGCAAAGAACUUUGCGGACACAUCCAAGAAGAAUUAGAAAUACAAUGCGCAGGACUCUUAAUAUUCAUGUCAUGAUAAAUUAAAUGCAGAUUUACUAGGUAAGUGUGAUUGAUAGAAGCUUACUCGUAUUUGUUCGGGAGUAAAUCUACCUAUAAGCAAUUUCUUUUCUUGUUCUGUAACAGUUCUUCCUCUCAAGUUAACUAUUUUCUUAGGUUUGGGUUUGUUUUUUUUUUUUU